AUACGGAGGGUGCGAGCGUUACUCGGAGUCACUGGGCGUAAAGCGUCCGUAGGCGGUCGGGUAAGUCGGGUGUGAAAGCCCCGGGCUCAACCUGGGAAGUGCACCCGAUACUGCUCGACUCGAGUGCGGGAGAGGAUGGCGGAAUUCCCGGUGUAGCGGUGAAAUGCGUAGAGAUCGGGAGGAACACCAGUGGCGAAGGCGGCCAUCUGGCCCGCAACUGACGCUGAGGGACGAAAGUGUGGGGAGCAAACAGGAUUAGAAACCCUAGUAGUCC
rnacentral:rRNA from 1 species